AUGGACAGCAGCCACGCGGCAGGAGCUCGCCACCGAAGACCCCCGAGCAUCGUCCGCCCCAAAUCUGGCCGGGAACCGAACGAGGCCGAGCCCUCGCACCCAGAUCCGCGCGUGGAUCAGCGCCACAACUACCACCACCAAAGAUCCAGCAGAGAUCUGCAGCCCCAUGACCUCUACCUCCCAACCCCCGCCUACCCGCCACCCUAG
rnacentral:rRNA from 1 species